rnacentral:lncRNA from 1 species
AGGCAGUCUGGAAAAGUCCUAUUAUAAAUACUAUGGGACAGAGUCACAAGAGAGAUGGGCCCAACACUGAUUAUAUAACAUCUGUAAUCCAAACCUCAGCUCUGGGGAGACUGAAAACUUGAACUGUGUCUACAGAUACAGCUGAGGUUAUCAACAGGUUUGUAUUCAACAAGGGAAUAAUUUUUGCUUCGUCCCUUCUCAUCCCCAUGAGCUGCUGUGAUUAUCAAGCAGCGGCAGCAAUUUGAUAUCCAGAAACACUUCACAAACCACUAAUUGGAGCCUGGCUGUUAGCCCUGCUCCAGUGCUCAACAGGUCUAGGAGUACCUGUGGUGGUAAAUCCAAAUUCUCACUUCCUCAGGAGUACAGCUAGGUCUGCAGAGGCUCCGACAGGCUUGCGGGUUACCAGACAUACUCCAUUGUAGUAAUACUCCUUUGAACAAGGAGUUACUGGGAGCCGAGGCACUUUUCCAAACAGUGAAUUUGCUGAAGUCAGCAAUCCAGAAGGUGAGUGGAUUUUGACCAUAUGUAGGAAUAGCAGAGGGACAGUAAAGCACUUUAGGGUGGGGCUCUGUGGAAGCUAAACAAGAGCAAAGUAGAAAACACACACAGGCUAGGGAAUUGAUCACCCUGCAUGGCUAGACUAAGCCUCUGACAACAGCACAAUGGAGAAAUGCUGCAGCACUCCCCAGGUGGCUAAAAAGAAAAGAGAACAAAAAAGUUCAAAGGUUUUCAAGCUUAUCCUUACACUAGUUCCUUUCAACUAGUAUUUUAUGUACCUGAAAUUCUGACUGUUCUAACCUAAAGAGGCAGAAAAAAUAAUAAUAAUGGUAAAAAAGGAAAUUCAAUAAUGGUAAACUGCAAAAGCAGAAAAUCAGCUAAUUACUGUAGACAAAUGACUAAAUCUGUUAUGGACUUUCAGUGUGCUAUACUUUAGGUAGCACUUAGGAUGAAGAUAAUGGCAUAUAAAGUCAUCAAUUCUGUCUUAAUUAUCUAUAUAAAUAUAUGUACAUAUGUAUAAUUAAUUCAUAGACUAUUAACUCUCCAUUAGGACAGAGAGUUUAUGUAAUCAAUAGAAAUGCCCACAUG